GAUGGAGGAUCGGAUUUGUGGAUAUGAGCAGGCUGAGCAGGAGUGGGAGGCUGAGAGGCAGAGGGCGGCAGAAGAAUUGCAGAGGAUGGAGAACCGGGCUCGCCGCUCUGAAGAGGAAGCUCUUCGUCUGCGAAAGAGACUGUGGCCGGAUGAGGGGAAGAAGGAAUCUUAUUCCGAGGUAUGGAGCAGCACAGCAUGUGCGCAGUCAUGCUGUGAGUGUACAUCAGUCUUUGAAGGGUCCCAACAAGUUCUGUUUCUCAUCCCCAGGGUGGGUGCUUUGGAGGUGGCUCCCAGGAGCAGGACACCAGGAGCAACAGGGCAAUCUACAUAGUGAUAGCAGUGCUGGCUGUUCUAUUUUUCCUUCGUGAGCAUUUCAGCCUGGAGUGAAGGAGCAGCACUCAGCCUGGGCCGCCUCUGCUGUUCUGGGGGGAAGUCAGACACAGAAAGCAGGAUUGGAGAGAGUUGGGGAGGGUGUGAAAAGAUCAGGUAUGGUGAACCAUCUCGGCCGUGAGGU
rnacentral:lncRNA from 1 species